rnacentral:RNase_P_RNA from 1 species
CGGACGGUUCGUCGCUGCCCGCGUGUCGGCACGACACGCAGGGGGAGAGGAAAGUCCGGACAGCACAGGGCAGCCCACUUCCUAAUGUAGAAGCAGUCCGCGAGGGUUGAGCAGUGCAGAAGAAAAUAACCGCCUCCGCUACUGGGCGGGGGUAAGGGUGAGAAGGCAGGGUAAGAGCCUACCAGCGGUGUGGUGACACAUUGGCUGUGCACCUUGGGCGCUGCAAGUUCAUGUAAACUGCCGUUUGAGGAUGGCCCGUCCGAGGUAGAGGGUAGAACGCUGGAGGCGCGUGGCGACAUGCGUCGUGGAUAAAUGACGAACCGUGGUGGUGAACCACGACAGAAUCCGGCUUACAGUCCGACUGC